rnacentral:misc_RNA from 1 species
GAAAUGCGAUAAGUAAUGUGAAUUGCAGAAUUCAGUGAAUCAUCGAAUCUUUGAACGCACAUUGCGCCCGCCAGUAUUCUGGCGGGCAUGCCUGUCCGAGCGUCAUUUCAACCAUCAAGCCCCCGGGCUUGUGUUGGGGACCUGCGGCUGCCCGCAGGCCCUGAAAACCAGUGGCGGGCUCGCUGUCACACCGAGCGUAGUAGCAAUCACCUCGCUCAGGGCGUGCUGCGGGUUCCGGCCGUUAAACAGCCUUACAAAACCCAAGGUUGACCUCGGAUCAGUUAGGAAGACCCGCUGAACUUAAGC